rnacentral:rRNA from 1 species
GAUGAACGCUGGCGGCGUGCCUAAUACAUGCAAGUCGAGCGAACGGACGAGAAGCUUGCUUCUCUGAUGUUAGCGGCGGACGGGUGAGUAACACGUGGAAAACCUACCUAUAAGACUGGGAUAACUUCGGGAAACCGGAGCUAACACCAGAUGAUAUUUUGAACCGCAUGGGUCAAAAGAGAAAGACGGUCUUGCUGUCACUUAUAGAUGGAUCCGCGCUGCAUUAGCUAGUUGGUAAGGUAACGGCUUACCAAGGCAACGAUGCAUAGCCGACCUGAGAGGGUGAUCGGCCACACUGGAACUGAGACACCGUCCAGACUCCUACGGGAGGCACCAGUAGGGAAUCUUCCGCAGUGGGCGGAAGCCUGGCGGAGCAGCGCCACGUGAGUGGUGAAGGUCUUCGGAGCGUAAUACUCUGUUAUUAGGGAAGAACAUAUGUGUAAGUAGCUGUGCACAUCGUGACGGUACCUAGUCAGAAAGCCCCGGCUAACUACGUG